UAGGAUAUGGAAUCACAGGCUCGGCUCAA
rnacentral:piRNA from 1 species